rnacentral:rRNA from 1 species
GAUGAACGCUGGCGGCGUGCCUAAUACAUGCAAGUCGAGCGAACAGACGAGGAGCUUGCUCCUCUGACGUUAGCGGCGGACGGGUGAGUAACACGUGGAUAACCUCCCUAUAAGACUGGGAUAACUUCGGGAAACCGGAGCUAAUACCGGAAAAUAUAUUGCACCGCAUGGUUCACUAGUGAAAGACGGUUUUGCUGUCACUUAUAGAUGGAUCCGCGCCGCAUUAGCUAGUUGGUAAGGUAACGGCUUACCAAGGCAACGAUGCGUAGCCGACCUGAGAGAGUGAUCGGCCACACUGGAACUGAGACACGGGCCAGACUCCUACGGGAGGCAGCAGUAGGGAAUCUUCCGCAAUGGGCGAAAGCCUGACGGAGCAACGCCGCGUGAGUGAUGAAGGUCUUCGGAUCGUAAAGCUCUGUUAUUAGGGAAGAACAAAUGUGUAAGUAACUAUGCACGUCUUGACGGUACCUAAUCAGAAAGCCACGGCUAACUACGUG